UACGUAGGUGACAAGCGUUGUCCGGAUUUACUGGGCGUAAAGAGCGCGCAGGCGGUCGAUCAAGUCGAGUGUGAAAGCCCCCGGCUCAACUGGGGAGGGUCAUUCGAAACUGGUCGACUCGAAGGCAGGAGAGGGUAGUGGAAUUCCCGGUGUAGUGGUGAAAUGCGUAGAUAUCGGGAGGAACACCAGUGGCGAAGGCGACUUACUGGACACAUAUUGACGCUGAGGUGCGAAAGCGUGGGGAGCAAACAGG
rnacentral:rRNA from 1 species